UACGUAGGGCGCGAGCGUUGUCCGGAAUUAUUGGGCGUAAAGAGCUCGUAGGCGGCCUGUUGCGUCCGCUGUGAAAUCCCGGGGCUCAACCCCGGGCUUGCAGUGGAUACGGGCUGGCUAGAGGCAGGCAGGGGAGAACGGAAUUCCCGGUGUAGCGGUGAAAUGCGCAGAUAUCGGGAGGAACACCGGUGGCGAAGGCGGUUCUCUGGGCCUGUACUGACGCUGAGGAGCGAAAGCGUGGGGGAGCGAACAGG
rnacentral:rRNA from 1 species